rnacentral:lncRNA from 1 species
CCUAGCACCAGCCCUACCUCCCCAUCCCCCAAAUCUCCAUCUCCUCAGUACCCUCAUCACCCUCCUGGGACCUCACCAUCACCAGCAUCAGUGGCUAACCCUCCAGCCACCUCACCAUCACCAGUAGUGGCUAGCCCUCCUGCCACCUCCCCAUCACCAGUGGGCUACCCUCCUGCCACCUCCCCAUCGCCAGUGGGCUACCCUCCUGCCACCUCACCAUCACCAGUGGGCUACCCUCCUGCCACCUCACCAUCACCAGUGGGAUACACUCCUGCCACCUCACCAUCCCCAUCAACAACAACAUCUCCAGCGCUAGCGCCAGGUCCAUCUUCAUCCCUUACACCAUUUCCUUCUCCACCCUCACCGCCCCCCGAGGGGCCCACACCGCCCUCCGAGGGGCCCACACCGGC